rnacentral:snRNA from 1 species
AUUGCUUCUCAGCCUUUUGGCUAAGAUCAAGUGUAGAUUAACUAUGUUAAGUAGAUACUGCUUGCUUCUAAGUGCCCACUUUUGUUCUUGUACAUAUUUGGGUUCAUAUUGCAGACAGUUGUUUUGUUACUCUUU